AUAGUAGACAUUUCUGCUUUACAAUAUGUAAUUACUGAUUAAAUUAGACAAUAUGUAGGUAAGUAUACUUGUUUAAAUUUUUUAAACAAAAUUAAAGUACCAUGACAUGGGGUAAAUUGGGAUCCUGGGGUAAAUUGGGACAAACCUGCGGAAGAUUCUCAAAGUACCUGUAGCACGGAAUCUACCUAAUUUUGUUUAUGUUAAUAUUUAUCAAUGUAUAGAAGAAAAACCAAGUUAACUAUGGAAGUACUAAAUAUGAGUUAAGUUGGUCCCAAAAAUUCGUCAAAUUAAAUUGAAAAUAGUGGUUGAAAAGUGCGUUUUAAAACAGCUUAAAGAACUUUUAAAAAAAGUAAUAUUAUCGUUGUUUUUUCAAUAAGAUCACAGUUUAUAUAAGUUUUUAAUACACUUGGAAAUACCACAACAAACGGUAAGUUGCAAUAUUCUUAUUUUAAAUACAAUAUUUCGACAAAAUAAAAAAUGUAUAUUUUUUCCUUUCUUUUUGGGGAAAAUUGGGACGUAUGUAGGGUAAUUGGGAACGAGACUGGAAAAAUUAGGGACGAGAAAAAACAAACUUGGAACGCCAAAAGACAAAAUAGGGAUGGCUUGUUAGGGUUGUCACUGAUAUCUUAUAAUAGAUUUUUUAGCCUAUACUAUCACUUAAUUGCGUGAUGUAAAGAAGGUUAAUGUGUUUAUCAGUUAGUUUAUGUAAGUAUUAUAGGUAAAAGAAAAGUAUAUAUAUAAUUACUUUUUUUCGCGACAUUUACCUUGUAAUAUCUGCCCGGUCGUAUGUUCUUUAUAGCAAUAAAAAAAUUAAAAGUUAAAAGAACUCAAACGAAUCAAAACUUUUAUUUCAGAAUCUAUUCACGCAUCGAAUCAUGAUUUUGUUAACAUUCAAAACGCACACACAAAUAAAAACAGGCCUCAGAUUUUAAAUGUAACAUUAAUUAAAAAUCCGAGAUAUCCAAUUAUGAAGUUGUGAUUUUUAAGGAAAUUAAAUAAUAAUUUUCUAAAAUAUAA